rnacentral:rRNA from 1 species
CCACCCUGAACACACUCUAUCUUGUCUGCUCUCGGAAGCUAACAGGGCUGAGCCUGGUUAGUACUUGCAUGGGAGGAAGAGACUGUUUGUAACUCUACAAUGGAGGUUCAGGC